rnacentral:tRNA from 1 species
GGUUGUGGCUCAGUGGUAGAGUGCUUGCCUCACAUGUGUGAGGCACUGGGUUCAAUUCUCAGCACCG